ACCAGAGGCCAUAACGCUUUAUCGAUGCUCAAUCUCGUCAAAUCUCGGAAUCUAAACAAGGCUGGACCUGGUUAGUACUUGGAUGGGGGACCACUAGCAAUAACAGAUGCCACAGUGG
rnacentral:rRNA from 1 species